rnacentral:rRNA from 1 species
AGAAAGCGUAACAGCUCACUGGUCAAGCGCUCCUGCGCGGAAAAUGUAACGGGGCUUAAGUGAUACACCGAAGCUGCGGGCUCGAAAGAGCGGUAGCGGAGCGUUCUGUAAGUCUGCGAAGGGCAGGUGCGAGCCUGCUUGGAGAUAUCAGAAGUGAGAAUGCUGACAUGAGUAGCGAUAAAGAGGGUGAGAGACCCUCUCGCCGAAAGACCAAGGGUUCCUGCUUAAAGUUAAUCUGAGCAGGGU